rfam:Picea glauca, whole genome shotgun sequence.
AAAAUGGUGUCUUUAGACACCACCAUUGCUCUCAGGGAAGUUUUU